rnacentral:rRNA from 1 species
CCUACGGGAGGCAGCAGUGGGGAAUCUUGGGCAAUGGGCGCAAGCCUGACCCAGCAACGCCGCGUGAGGGAAGAAGGCUUUCGGGUUGUAAACUUCUUUUGUCAGGGAAGAGUGAAAGACAGUACCUGACGAAUAAGCCACGGCUAACUACGUGCCAGCAGCCGCGGUAAUACGUAGGUGGCAAGCGUUGUCCGGAUUUACUGGGUGUAAAGGGCGUGUAGCCGGGUUGACAAGUCAGAUGUGAAAUCCUGCGGCUUAACCGCAGAACUGCAUUUGAAACUGUUGAUCUUGAGUACUGGAGAGGCAGAUGGAAUUCCUAGUGUAGCGGUGAAAUGCGUAGAUAUUAGGAGGAACACCAGUGGCGAAGGCGGUCUGCUGGACAGCAACUGACGGUGAGGCGCGAAAGCGUGGGGAGCAAACAGGAUUAGAUACCCUUGUAGUC